ACGUAGACCCUGCUGUCCUGGAGCUCCUCCUCACUCAGUCGACCCCGCGCGCGCACACAGCCCGCGUCCUCUUCGCCCCCGGCUCGGUCCUGCCCCGCGUCCCUGCAGUUCACAAAGGGCGUCGGCCAGCUCCUGGGUGGUGACCUCGAUGAACUUGGGAUCUUGAGCAAACUGCCCCAGUCCUUCUGAAAUCAAGACCUGAAGGAGCGGGGUGGGAGCCAUGAAGAACCAAAGGAACAUUAUUCCUGGAGCCCAGCUCUUCCCUUGAGGGCUAGAGCAAGGGGUAUCUGAGAAACCAUUCUCCCUGGUGAAACUGCUGAGACAGGCCCACUGCCCAUUGCCUGCCGCUGCCUUUCCAGGGGUGAGGUAUCUGUGCAAACACGGCGCAUGCCCCUGCCUUGCUUCUGCUGGGAAGGGCCAGCAGGUGACCCUUAAGCUUCUCUGUCCUCCCUACAGGCUGCUUAGUGCCUGGCUAUGGGAAAAUCGGCUCCUGAGCCAGCGGGUCGGGGGAAGCUGAGUGCAGCCUGGCACUCGCUCCUUCCAGGCAUCUGUCUUGCUCCUUGCCCACGCCACUCAUUCUCUCCUUGCCCUGCUUAGUUUUUCUUUGGCACUCCUGACCUUCCUGAUGUGUUAUAUAUGUGUGUGUUUAUUAUCUGUCUCUCCUCACCAAGAUGUGAGCUCAUGAGAGCAGAAGCUCUGUUUCUCAGCUGUGUCCCUGUACCUAGAACAGGGCCUGCACAUGGUAGGCGCUCAGGGGAGGUCUGUGAAAUGAAUGCAGGAUGAUCGAGGCCACAGGAAUACCAGACUUUGAGAGGUAAACCUUGGAAGCCACCUGGUUUAACGCCCCACCUCCUGCACGACAGCCUGAUGCCCAGAUGAGCACAGUCUCUGCUUGGCUAUGUCUGAUGAUGGGGGGCUCACUACCUUUCAGGCAAGCCCGUCUCAUCUUGGAAGAGCUCAUUUGGGAAGGUCUUCCUCAUGUGAGCUGAAAUCUGUCCGCUGGUGGGCUGAGCCUGCCACCCUUUCCCCAUCCCACCCGUUGCAGGUGUGAGAGGUGUAUCGCAACCUCCAAAGUCACCUCCUCUCCAGGUUUUCUUCCCGAAUUCCCUGAAACGGUUCUCCUAGGAAAUGGUUUCUAGGAACCUUGCCAUCCUGGUCAUCCUCUGUUGGGUUUGUUCCAGUGUGUCAAAGGUCCCUAAUAAUGUGGUGCCGGGAUUGCACUAGAUGCUCUGACCAGGCAGAGCACAGUGGGACUGACAGCUCGCUUGUUCUAGGCUAGUGGCUCUCAACCUUGCUACACGUUAAAAUCAUCGAAGAGCUUUAACAAUCAUCAGUUAAUCUGUCCUGGGUUUCCAAAGCUCCCCAGGUGAUGCUCACGGGCAGUCAGGCCUGAGCACCUUGGAUCUUGCCUGUCUGUGUAUAAAGGCAGCCAGGCUCACAUUUGCAUGUUGAGCAGCUGCAGCAUAAGGGAUAAGUUGCUCAGUGGUUUCUGCCACCCUCUGCAGUGGGUCUAGCCUCAAGAGAGCCCAUAGCAUCUUGUGCAGUCAUGGCUUUCCGCACACCAGCCCUCCUGCAGCCCUGAGAGGGAGGGUCUUUCCGGCUCAGAUAUUGACUGCGAUGAAUUUGGCAAGAGCCAGGUGCUCCCUUCUCAGCCCCACAUGCCAAGUCCCCUUGUUGCCCGUGGCCUCUCCCCCCUGCCCAUCUGCGAGUCACCUACCGCUU